UCCUGAGCUAUAUUCCUAACU
rnacentral:piRNA from 1 species